CCUACGGGAGGCUGCAGUGGGGAAUAUUGCGCAAUGGGCGAAAGCCUGACGCAGCGACGCCGCGUGAGGGAUGAAGGUAUUCGGAUCGUAAACCUCUGUCAGCAGGGAAGAACGGUCACUGUGCUAAUCAGCAGUGAAUUGACGGUACCUGCAAAGGAAGCACCGGCUAACUCCGUGACAGCAGCCGCGGUAAUACGGAGGGUGCGAGCGUUAAUCGGAAUUACUGGGCGUAAAGCGAUCGUAGGCGGUAUGUCAAGUCAAGGGUGAAAUCCCCGCGCUCAACGUGGGAACUGCCUGUGAAACUGGCAAACUGGAGGGGGUGAGAGGAGAGUGGGAGGCGAGGUGUAGGAGUGAAAUCCGUAGAUAUCUGGAGGAACAUCAGUGGCGAAGGCGACUAUCUGGCACAUAACUGACGCUGAGGAGCGAAAGCGUGGGUAGCAAACAGGAUUAGAUACCCCUGUC
rnacentral:rRNA from 1 species